GAUGAACGCUGGCGGCGUGCUUAACACAUGCAAGUCGAACGGGAAUUAUUUUAUUGAGGCUUCGGUCGAUUUAAUUUAAUUCUAGUGGCGGACGGGUCAGUCACGCGUGGGUAACCUGCCUUAUACAGGGGGAUAAAAGUCAGAAAUGGCUGCUAAUACGGCAUAAGCGGACAGAGAUGCAUGGCUCAGUGUGGAAAACUGCGGUGGUAUAAGAUGGACCCGCGUUGGAGUAGCUGGUCGGGGGGGUAACGGCCCACCAGGGCGACGAUCCAUAGCCGGACUGCGAGGGGGAACGGUGACAUUGGGACUGAGCCACGGCCCAGACUCCUACGGGAGGCAGCAGUGGGGAAUAUAGCACAAUGGGCGAAAUCCUGAUGCAGCGACUCCGCGUGAAGGAAGAAGUAUCUCGGUACGGAAAUUUGCAGCAGCAGGGAAGAUAGUGACGGUACCUGACUAAGAAGCCCCGGCUAACUACGUG
rnacentral:rRNA from 1 species